rnacentral:rRNA from 1 species
GGUUAAGCGACUAAGCGUACACGGUGGAUGCCCUGGCAGUCAGAGGCGAUGAAGGACGUGCUAAUCUGCGAUAAGCGUCGGUAAGGUGAUAUGAACCGUUAUAACCGGCGAUUUCCGAAUGGGGAAACCCAGUGUGUUUCGACACACUAUCAUUAACUGAAUCCAUAGGUUAAUGAGGCGAACCGGGGGAACUGAAACAUCUAAGUACCCCGAGGAAAAGAAAUCAACCGAGAUUCCCCCAGUAGCGGCGAGCGAACGGGGAGCAGCCCAGAGCCUGAAUCAGUGUGUGUGUUAGUGGAAGCGUCUGGAAAGGCGCGCGAUACAGGGUGACAGCCCCGUACACAAAAAUGCACAUGCUGUGAGCUCGAUGAGUAGGGCGGGACACGUGGUAUCCUGUCUGAAUAUGGGGGGACCAUCCUCCAAGGCUAAAUACUCCUGACUGACCGAUAGUGAACCAGUACCGUGAGGGAAAGGCGAAAAGAACCCCGGCGAGGGGAGUGAAAAAGAACCUGAAACCGUGUACGUACAAGCAGUGGGAGCACGCUUAGGCGUGUGACUGCGUACCUUUUGUAUAAUGGGUCAGCGACUUAUAUUCUGUAGCAAGGUUAACCGAAUAGGGGAGCCGAAGGGAAACCGAGUCUUAACUGGGCGUUAAGUUGCAGGGUAUAGACCCGAAACCCGGUGAUCUAGCCAUGGGCAGGUUGAAGGUUGGGUAACACUAACUGGAGGACCGAACCGACUAAUGUUGAAAAAUUAGCGGAUGACUUGUGGCUGGGGGUGAAAGGCCAAUCAAACCGGGAGAUAGCUGGUUCUCCCCGAAAGCUAUUUAGGUAGCGCCUCGUGAAUUCAUCUCCGGGGGUAGAGCACUGUUUCGGCAAGGGGGUCAUCCCGACUUACCAACCCGAUGCAAACUGCGAAUACCGGAGAAUGUUAUCACGGGAGACACACGGCGGGUGCUAACGUCCGUCGUGAAGAGGGAAACAACCCAGACCGCCAGCUAAGGUCCCAAAGUCAUGGUUAAGUGGGAAACGAUGUGGGAAGGCCCAGACAGCCAGGAUGUUGGCUUAGAAGCAGCCAUCAUUUAAAGAAAGCGUAAUAGCUCACUGGUCGAGUCGGCCUGCGCGGAAGAUGUAACGGGGCUAAACCAUGCACCGAAGCUGCGGCAGCGACGCUUAUGCGUUGUUGGGUAGGGGAGCGUUCUGUAAGCCUGUGAAGGUGUGCUGUGAGGCAUGCUGGAGGUAUCAGAAGUGCGAAUGCUGACAUAAGUAACGAUAAAGCGGGUGAAAAGCCCGCUCGCCGGAAGACCAAGGGUUCCUGUCCAACGUUAAUCGGGGCAGGGUGAGUCGACCCCUAAGGCGAGGCCGAAAGGCGUAGUCGAUGGGAAACAGGUUAAUAUUCCUGUACUUGGUGUUACUGCGAAGGGGGGACGGAGAAGGCUAUGUUGGCCGGGCGACGGUUGUCCCGGUUUAAGCGUGUAGGCUGGUUUUCCAGGCAAAUCCGGAAAAUCAAGGCUGAGGCGUGAUGACGAGGCACUACGGUGCUGAAGCAACAAAUGCCCUGCUUCCAGGAAAAGCCUCUAAGCAUCAGGUAACAUCAAAUCGUACCCCAAACCGACACAGGUGGUCAGGUAGAGAAUACCAAGGCGCUUGAGAGAACUCGGGUGAAGGAACUAGGCAAAAUGGUGCCGUAACUUCGGGAGAAGGCACGCUGAUAUGUAGGUGAAGCGACUUGCUCGUGGAGCUGAAAUCAGUCGAAGAUACCAGCUGGCUGCAACUGUUUAUUAAAAACACAGCACUGUGCAAACACGAAAGUGGACGUAUACGGUGUGACGCCUGCCCGGUGCCGGAAGGUUAAUUGAUGGGGUCAGCGCAAGCGAAGCUCUUGAUCGAAGCCCCGGUAAACGGCGGCCGUAACUAUAACGGUCCUAAGGUAGCGAAAUUCCUUGUCGGGUAAGUUCCGACCUGCACGAAUGGCGUAAUGAUGGCCAGGCUGUCUCCACCCGAGACUCAGUGAAAUUGAACUCGCUGUGAAGAUGCAGUGUACCCGCGGCAAGACGGAAAGACCCCGUGAACCUUUACUAUAGCUUGACACUGAACAUUGAGCCUUGAUGUGUAGGAUAGGUGGGAGGCUUUGAAGUGUGGACGCCAGUCUGCAUGGAGCCGACCUUGAAAUACCACCCUUUAAUGUUUGAUGUUCUAACGUUGACCCGUAAUCCGGGUUGCGGACAGUGUCUGGUGGGUAGUUUGACUGGGGCGGUCUCCUCCUAAAGAGUAACGGAGGAGCACGAAGGUUGGCUAAUCCUGGUCGGACAUCAGGAGGUUAGUGCAAUGGCAUAAGCCAGCUUGACUGCGAGCGUGACGGCGCGAGCAGGUGCGAAAGCAGGUCAUAGUGAUCCGGUGGUUCUGAAUGGAAGGGCCAUCGCUCAACGGAUAAAAGGUACUCCGGGGAUAACAGGCUGAUACCGCCCAAGAGUUCAUAUCGACGGCGGUGUUUGGCACCUCGAUGUCGGCUCAUCACAUCCUGGGGCUGAAGUAGGUCCCAAGGGUAUGGCUGUUCGCCAUUUAAAGUGGUACGCGAGCUGGGUUUAGAACGUCGUGAGACAGUUCGGUCCCUAUCUGCCGUGGGCGCUGGAGAACUGAGGGGGGCUGCUCCUAGUACGAGAGGACCGGAGUGGACGCAUCACUGGUGUUCGGGUUGUCAUGCCAAUGGCACUGCCCGGUAGCUAAAUGCGGAAGAGAUAAGUGCUGAAAGCAUCUAAGCACGAAACUUGCCCCGAGAUGAGUUCUCCCUGACCCUUUAAGGGUCCUGAAGGAACGUUGAAGACGACGACGUUGAUAGGCCGGGUGUGUAAGCGCAGCGAUGCGUUGAGCUAACCGGUACUAAUGAACCGUGAGGCUUAACCUUACAACGCCGAAGAUGUUUUG